rnacentral:misc_RNA from 1 species
CUCUAUUCCAGCAGCCGCGGUAAUACGUUCCCGGGUCUUGUCCUUACCGCCCGUCACACCACGAGAGUUUACAACACCCGAAGCCGGUGGGGUAACCCGCAAGGGAGCUAGCCGUCGAAGGUGGGGUAGAUGAUUGGGGUGAAGUCGUAACAAGGUAGCCGUAUCGGAAGGUGCGGCUGGAUCACCUCCUUUCUAAGGAAAUACCCAACUACGAUGAUAGUUGGAUACUCAGGCAGGUUUUAUUGCUCACUCGUUGUCAGUUUUGAAAGAUCAAUUCAAUCCCGUUGUCUUAAGGGGUUCGGAAGAUUAUCUUUCAGUUUAGCUAUCCGUUUGGUGGCGAUGGUGGAGGGGAACCACGCGUUCCCAUACCGAACACGACCGUUAAGCCCUCCAGCGCCAAUGGUACUUAGACCGCAGGGUCUUGGGAGAGUAGGACGUCGCCAAGCGGGUGUCAUGUUACACCUUCGCAGCAGCCGCAAGGCUCAGCUGUGAUUUACUUUGCACCUUGAAAACUGGAUAACGAAAGAAAAGAAUUGCUGAAACAUCCUUUAGCAACCAUGAUUUAUGCGAGUGAAGGUUGUUCGAGAUUGCAGCGACUUUUACAGUCUUUAUUUCUACCUCUAACGGGGUUAUUGUUCAAGAAAUCAAGCUGUAACGGCGAGGCAAGCCGAAUCAACCGGAACAUUAGGUUAAGCUAUU